rnacentral:rRNA from 1 species
GACGAACGCUGGCGGCGUGCCUAACACAUGCAAGUCGAGCGAAUGAAGUUCCUUCGGGAACGGAUUUAGCGGCGGACGGGUGAGUAACACGUGGGCAACCUACCUCAUAGAGGGGAAUAGCCUUCCGAAAGGGAGAUUAAUACCGCAUAAGAUUGUAGUACCGCAUGAUACAGCAAUUAAAGGAGCAAUCCGCUAUGAGAUGGGCCCGCGGCGCAUUAGCUAGUUGGUGAGGUAACGGCGUCACCAAGGCGACGAUGCGUAGCCGACCUGAGAGGGUGAUCGGCCACAUUGGGACUGAGACACGGCCCAGACUCCUACGGGAGGCGAGCAGUGGGGAAUAUUGGGCAAUGGGCGAAAGCCUGACCCAGCAACGCCGCGUGAAGG